GGGUUAACGUCCCGUAACGAGCGCAACCCUUGUCCUUAGUUACCAGCACGUUAUGGUGGGCACUCUAAGGAGACUGCCGGUGACAAACCGGAGGAAGGGUGGGGAUGACGUCAAGUCAUCAUCGGCCCUUACGGCCUGGGCUACACACGUGCUACAAUGGUCGGUACAAAGGGCUGCCAAGCCGCGAGGUGGAGCUAAUCCCAAUAAAACCGAUCGUAGUCCGGAUCGCAGUCUGCAACUCGACUGCGUGAAGUCGGAAUCGCUAGUAAUCGUGAAUCAGAAUGUCACGGUGAAUACGUUCCCGGGCCUU
rnacentral:rRNA from 1 species